rnacentral:rRNA from 1 species
AUUGAACGCUGGCGGCAUGCUUUACACAUGCAAGUCGAACGGCAGCACGAGUGCUUGCACUUGGUGGCGAGUGGCGGACGGGUGAGUAAUGCAUCGGAACGUGUCCUGAAGUGGGGGAUAACGCAUCGAAAGAUGUGCUAAUACCGCAUAUUCUCUGAGGAGGAAAGUAGGGGAUCGAAAGACCUUAUGCUUUUGGAGCGGCCGAUGUCUGAUUAGCUAGUUGGUGAGGUAAAGGCUUACCAAGGCGACGAUCUGUAGCGGGUCUGAGAGGAUGAUCCGCCACACUGGAACUGAGACACGGUCCAGACACCUACGGGUGGCAG